rnacentral:lncRNA from 1 species
UCAUGUUGUUCAGUCUCCAUGUGUUUGUGUCUUUUGCAGCUUUUUUCUUGUUGUCGAUUUCCAGUUGCAUAGUGUUGUGGAUGGAAAAGAUGCUUGAUAUGAUUUCAAUUUUCGUAAAGUUACCGAGGCUUGAUUUGUGGCCCAGCAUGUGAUCCAUCCUAGAGAAGGUUUCGUGUGCACUUGAGAAGAAUGUGUAUUCUGCUGCUUUUGGGUGGAAUGUCCUAUAACUAUCUAUGAAGUCCAUUUGGUCUAAUGCUUCACUUGGGGCCUGUGUUUCCCUCUUGGUUUUCUGUCUGGAAGAUCUGUCCACUGCUGUAAGUGGGGGGUUAAGAUCUCCUGCUAUUUUUGUGUUACUGUCAAUUUCUCCUUUUAGGGCUGUUAGCAGUUGCCUUAUAUAUUGGGUUGUUCCUCCUUGGGUUUAUUUUAUAUGGUACUCACUGUGCUUCUAGGAUUUGAGUGAGUGGUUCCUUUGCCAUGUUAGGGAACUUUUUGGCUACUGUCUCUUCAAAUAUUUUUUGCUGUCUCUUUCUCCCUCUUUUCUCCUUCUGGCACCCCCAUUAUAUGGAUGUUGGUGCAUUUAAUGCUGUCCCAGAGUUCUCUGAGACUGUCUCCAUUCCUUUUCAAUCUUUUUUCUCUUUUCUGUUCCGCAUCAGUGAUUUCCACUAGUCUGUCCUCCACCUCCCUUAUUCACCCUUCUGCCUCCUGUAUUCUGCUGAUGGUUUCUUGUCAUGACUGGUUUAUUUCAGUUAUUGUAUUCUGCAUCUCUGCUUGCUUAAGUUUUAAAUCUUGUAUGUCUUCACUCAGUGUGCUCUGUAACUUAUCAACCCUUGCCUCCAGUUUAUUUCCAUUGUCUUGCAUCAUCUUCAGCAUCACCAGUUUAAAGUCUUUUUCCUGGAAGCUGAGAAUCUCCAGAUCACUUAGCUGUUUUCAUGGGGUUUUUUCUGGUUCCCCUGUCUGAGUUAUGCGUUCUCUGCCUUUUCAUUUUUUCUGAUUUUUGGUGUGCUCUCCAUUUUGCAGAAAAUAAGAGUUGUAGCCUCUCUUACCUCUGGUAUCUGCCUCCCUUUGUGGCUGAAUUUGGUAUGGGGGCUUGCUGUAGGCUUCCUGCUGGGAGGGACUGGUGCCUGCCUACUGGCAGGUGGGGCUGAUUCCUGUCUCUCUGGUGGGUGGGGCUUUGCCUCUGGGUGAGAUUAGAGGUGGGGUGUGUUCCUGGGGGGCCUUUAGGCAGCCUGUUUACUGAUGGGUGGGCUCUGGUCCUACCUGGAUUAUUGUUUGGCCUGGGGCUUCUCAGCCCUGAUGGGUGGGACCAGAUUGUCCCAAAAUGGCCACGUCUAGAGGAACACACGCUGAUGAACAGUCCUGAGACCUUUGCCUCCAAUGUCCUCCCCUGACGACAAGCCACGGUCACCCCCUCUUUUCCCAGGAGAUCCUCUAAGAACUGCCAUCAGUUCUGACCCAGAUUCCCACGGAGCCUAUGCUUUUCCCUGGGACCCAGUGCACAUGAAAGCCUGUGGGAGCCUUUCAGGAAUGGAGUCUCCAUUCCUCCCAGUCCUGUGGAGUUCCUGCACACAAGCCCCACUGGCUUUCAAGGCUGGAUGCUCUGGGAGCUCUCCCUCCCAAUCCCAAAUCCUCAGGCAUGGGAACUUGACGUGGGGCUCGGAACUCUCACUCCUGUAGGUGAGGCUGUGUGAUACAGUUACUUUCCCAUCUGUGGGCUUCCCUCCUGGCAGGUAUUGAGUUGCUUAUGUUACAUAAUUGCCCCUCCCACUGUCCUGAUCUGGACGCUUCUUUGUCUUCUGGAGUAGGAUUAUCUUUUUGAAAGUUUGCAGUCCAUGUGGUUGAAGGUUCUUCAGCAUUUGGUUGUAUUUUGUUUUUAUGAGAAGAGGUGAGCUCUAGUCCUUCUAUUCUGCCAUCUCUAUCCUGUCUCAAGAAUAAUUUUGAUUAAAUUAGUAAAGAGCAUUAUUAAAACCUAAUGAAGUACAAUAAAGUACACAUUAAGAAGUAUCCACCGAAAAACCAAAAUUAAUAUAAAAAUGAAAUGAAAGGGAGCCAAAAUAAUGAUCAGAGAAACAAGGAUGGAAGUCAAAGUCCAAGAAAAUCCACCAUGCAUAUAAUUAAAGUUUGUGAAGAAUAAGGUAAAUAAAUGAAGGAGACCUAAUCAUCAAGACCACAAUCCAUGAAAACUUCCCCCGAAUAAAGGAAAGCAUGAACCUCUAUAAUGACAGUAACCAUAUGCAACUGGGUCAACUGAUUCACCUCCAUCAAUUUUUAGGCCCACCUAUGUAAGUUAAUAGACUUUAACAUGGCAUGAGACAGAAUUACCCAAGGUCUGCUAUUAAAUAUCAUAGUUCAAUGUGUUUUAAUAUCAUAAAACGAAGUUUUUGUAUUUUUGGUUAUAUUUCUUAAAUUUUGUCCUUUACUUUUCAGAUAAUUUAAUAUAAUUCAUCUUUGUAAAACAAGAACUGGAGGGUGUAAACACUGAAACAAUAUCAGUGUAUAAUUUUCUUAGUUUUUUGAAUAAGUUUUUUUCUCUGUGCCCCAUUGUUGAGACUGUGUAUAUAUUGAAUUUUAGAACUCCAACAAAAAAAUUCAGUGAUUUCCAAGGAAUUUAAUUUUAAAGUGAAUUAUUUAAUCUAUAUCUUAAAAUAUUGUCUAAAUAUCAAAUGUUUGAAGAAAAUUUUUUAAAAAUUUUGUUGUGUUUAUUUUUAUAUGUAUUUUGUAGUUUAUUCAUACUCUAAUGUUACAACUAGUCUUUAAAAGGACUAAUUUUAUUAGUAAAAUUAUUUAUCUUUAUCUUUUGAUUAAAAGCAAAAUUUCCAAUGCAUAUUCAAUAGCACUGAUGUAAUGAUGUAAAUAUAUAUACUUUAGUGGAAUUAUUGAGUUAUGAAAUUUAUUUGACUCAUUAUAGUUUUCAGUUAUUAGAAUAAUAAAAAAAUAAAUCAAUACAUUUGUGCUUUAGGAAUUACUGAAAUGAAACUUUCUGCCAUUGAAUUAUAUCUUUCAAAGGACUAUAAUCUCAAUUUUGAUGAGCUUCUCUUUUAUCCUAGUAAUUGGCAUUUAUGCACAUUGCAUUCAUAUUAAACUUUUCAUGUCAGAAAGUAAGGCUGGCUGCUGAAUUAGAGGCUUUUCAAAAGUAAAGCUUCUGCUCUUUUAGUUUAUGAUAUGUGAAUGUCAAUGAAUAUCCCAUCAAAUACCACCCUUUGAUGGUGUUAAUCUAUAUGUUAAUAGUUUCUCUAUUUUCUCUGAUAUCUUGGCCUAUUCAUCUAUUUAAUACCUUGUAUUUUUACAGUGUAUAUUGUUUAAAAAGAAAAUCUGCCAGUCAUUGAAGAGGACAGCAUCCUUUUUGAUAAAAGAGAAAUUAUAUUUUGUAAAACUUGUGUUUAAAUUCUGUUAAUGUAUUCAGAUUAGGUUAAAAGUUCCUUUGAAAGAGUAUUUUCUAUAAUAGAAAGAUUUAAAAAAAUUGCAAACAGAUCAUGACAGGGCAAUAAGGGAAAAGGAGGUACUUGGUAUAAACUUCUGCUCAGGAACCCAGUAUAAGGGUUUCUGUUUUUUAAUACGCAAAGAAGGAACCAAGCUCAGAGAUUGUAGAUAAUAUGUGUAGAUAGCUGACUAUACUGAAUUUAGUUUUAUAUCCAGAAUAUUAAAGCUUCAGGAAUUGUCCAAAAUUCCUUCACAUGUGAACAGAUGGAUAAAUAAGAAAUAAAGUGGCAAAGAGAAUUGCUGAGCUAUUAGGAAGAAUCAUCUCUUCCUGGGAACUUAUAAUGUAAUAAAUACAACUAAGAAGAAAAUGAGGCAUAAGAAAAUGAAUUAAGCCACAAAGACUUAUUACUAAUCAAAUCAUGUUACCUUUGAAGUAAGUGACAUAGUCUAUAAAAUAGAGUGCCUGAGCACAAUCUAUACUUCAUUUCUAUCUAUGCUCUUUUAAAUCAACUAGUUUCAAACUUCCUAGGUCUCAGUUUCCUCAUCUGUAUAAUGAGGAUAAUAAAUGUCUGUGGAAUGAGCUAUUGAAGUAUGUGAAGUCUAAGUGAGAUGCCAUGGGCUGGGUCACUGGGAUAGAAUCUGUUUUGUGGGUGCUGAUACACAAAUCAACUUUAUCAGAGGAGUGAGAUUGAGCACUCAUGAACUCAAGAGACAGGGAAAAACUGGGUCCCUGGGUGUACUUUUCUGUGUCUUUGGUCUCUAGAACAAUGUUGUAUGUCUGCUUGGGUGUUGUUAGCCUUGGAGACACUCAUAAAUGAAAUUUAGGAAGAAAGUAACGUUUAUGUUUUUUCCUUACCUUACAAGCUGUUAGCACUCUGCCUUCUAUGUCCCCUCCUUAAUGCAAGUCCUAAGUGUAACCACUUUGUCCAUCCAGACCAUUGCACCAGAGAUCCACUGCUUCUCCUUUUGCAGGUUUAUCACUUUCAGCUAGAGGAGGCCAUGGCCCAUCUAUUUACUUUCAAUUUAAUGUCCACAGUGCAAACAGACUGAGGAUGAUCUAAGAGAGCAAAUCAUAAGGCCUCCUCUCUGACAGACUAUACGCACAGGCUAGUGAAUGCAGACACUUAGGUACAUGAUACACAUGUUAGGCCAGUUCUUAAUAUAAGUGAAAGGUGGGGGGUAAAACAAUGGAAAAUUCUCAGCAGCCCCUCAACUCUCACUUGUGUUCCCUCCUUAGGUCAAAUUCCUGAGAGAGAAGUUCUAUUCAUACUCAUCGCACCAUUUUACUUUUCUGCCUCUCUCAUUUUAUUUUUUCCCCCAUAUUUUCAUUAUCCAGAAAAGGAGCAGUUAUCCCUUUACUUCUCCAAGACAUAACACUCAUAGUGUCUUAGAGUAAUCUAAGUGACGUAUGUGAAAUGAGUUUAUCCUCCACACUACAGGAGAAUUCUAGCUGGGUUCUCAAAACCCUUAACCCACUAAGAGGAGAGAGGAAAAAAAAAAUAAUUUGAAUAUUUAUUCUCAAAAUUUUUUUUUUCAAAAACUCUGUUCUUGGUAGAUAAUUCUUUUCUUACAUUCCAGAAACUUUUAUUACCUGUGCGUUUGUUGUUGAUAUUAUUUUUUUAUCUCUUUUCAAGGAGAUAGAAGCUUUGAGUGAAUUAGAGUAAAGAUGGCAGGUAAACAAAAAUGAACAACAUAGCUUUUCAAAAUAGCAUUCACUGUUACCUACCUAUUCCCUUAAUCAUGAAAAACCUUAACUGUUUCCUCUUUUUCCUAUUCAAACAAGGUUAGAAUGAAUAGCCUUCUCUGUAUAUGUGAUAUUUUCUUUAAGGCAAACAAUGAGUAAUGGAAUUAUAGGAUCUGAGUGCAUUUAAAAUUUGUACUCCUGGAGUUCCCAUCGUGGCGCAGUAGUUGGCGAAUCCGACUAGGAACCAUGAGGUUGCGGGUUCCAUCCCUGCCCUUGCUCAGUGGGUUGAGGAUCUGGCGUUGCUGUGAGCUGUGGUGUAGGUCACAGAUGCGGCUCGGAUCCUGCGUUGCUGUGGCUCUGGCGCAGGCUGACGGCUAUAGCUCCGAUUCAACCCCUAGCCUGGGAAUCUCCAUAUGCCAUUGGAGUGGCCCAAGAAAUG